rnacentral:rRNA from 1 species
GACGAACGCUGGCGGCGUGCUUAACACAUGCAAGUCGAACGGAAAGGCUCCAGCUUGCUGGAGUGCUCGAGCGGCGAACGGGUGAGUAACACGUGGGCAAUCUGCCCUGCACUCUGGGAUAAGCCUGGGAAACUGGGUCUAAUACCGGAUAGGACCUUUCUCCUCAUGGGGUUUGGUGGAAAGUUUUUCGGUGCAGGAUGAGCCCGCGGCCUAUCAGCUUGUUGGUGGGGUAAUGGCCUACCAAGGCGACGACGGGUAGCCGGCCUGAGAGGGUGAUCGGCCACAUUGGGACUGAGAUACGGCCCAGACUCCUACGGGAGGCAGCAGUGGGGAAUAUUGCACAAUGGGCGAAAGCCUGAUGCAGCGACGCCGCGUGAGGGAUGACGGCCUUCGGGUUGUAAACCUCUUUCAGUAGGGACGAAGCGCAAGUGACGGUACCUGCAGAAGAAGCACCGGCUAACUACGUG